GUGCCUAAUACAUGCAAGUCGAACGAGAGCGACCGGUGCUUGCACUGGUCAAUCUAGUGGCGAACGGGUGAGUAACAACGUGGGUAACCUGCCCAUCAGAGGGGGAGUAACAUCCGGAAACGGAUGCUAAAACCGCAUAGGUCUUCGAGCCGCAUGGCUUGAAGAGGAAAAGAGGCGCAAGCUUCUGCUGAUGGAUGGACCCGCGGUGCAUUAGCUAGUUGGUGAGGUAACGGCUCACCAAGGCCGUGAUGCAUAGCCGACCUGAGAGGGUGAUCGGCCACAUUGGGACUGAGACACGGCCCAAACUCCUACGGGAGGCAGCAGUAGGGAAUCUUCCGCAAUGGACGCAAGUCUGACGGAGCAACGCCGCGUGAGUGAAGAAGGUUUUCGGAUCGUAAAACUCUGUUGUUAGAGAAGAACAAGUGCUAGAGUAACUGUUAGCGCCUUGACGGUAUCUAACCAGAAAGCCACGGCUAACUAC
rnacentral:rRNA from 1 species